GGAGACGUGGGAGAGUGGUUUAAUCCAGCGGUCUUGAAAACCGCCGACUCGAAAGGGUCCGUGAGUUCGAAUCUCACCGUCUCCGCCA
rnacentral:tRNA from 1 species